GAGCGAACAGAGAAGGAGCUUGCUCCUUUGACGUUAGCGGCGGACGGGUGAGUAACACGUGGGCAACCUACCUUAUAGUUUGGGAUAACUCCGGGAAACCGGGGCUAAUACCGAAUAAUCUAUUUUACUUCAUGGUGAAAUACUGAAAGACGGUUUCGGCUGUCGCUAUAAGAUGGGCCCGCGGCGCAUUAGCUAGUUGGUGAGGUAACGGCUCACCAAGGCGACGAUGCGUAGCCGACCUGAGAGGGUGAUCGGCCACACUGGGACUGAGACACGGCCCAGACUCCUACGGGAGGCAGCAGUAGGGAAUCUUCCACAAUGGGCGAAAGCCUGAUGGAGCAACGCCGCGUGAGUGAAGAAGGUUUUCGGAUCGUAAAACUCUGUUGUAAGGGAAGAACAAGUACAGUAGUAACUGGCUGUACCUUGACGGUACCUUAUUAGAAAGCCACGGCUAACUACGUGCCAGCAGCCGCGGUAAUACGUAGGUGGCAAGCGUUGUCCGGAAUUAUUGGGCGUAAAGCGCGCGCAGGCGGUCCUUUAAGUCUGAUGUGAAAGCCCACGGCUCAACCGUGGAGGGUCAUUGGAAACUGGGGGACUUGAGUGCAGAAGAGGAAAGUGGAAUUCCAAGUGUAGCGGUGAAAUGCGUAGAGAUUUGGAGGAACACCAGUGGCGAAGGCGACUUUCUGGUCUGUAACUGACGCU
rnacentral:rRNA from 1 species